AAUGUAUUUCUAUUAUAAAAAUUAGUAUAUUGUUCCAAUAAAUAUUUUUUUUAUUAAAAAGUUUUAUUCUUGCUGAUUUAUUUAUUAUUAAAUUAUUUUAAUGUAUAUGAUUCUAAAUGGUUAAAAUGCAGUGAGUAAUAUUAUACAAUUAAAAUGAUUGGAUAUAGUAAUUUUUUUUAGUAUUGGUAAAAUGCGUGCCAGCUGCCGCGGUUAGACGUGGAAUACAAGUAAAUAAAAUUGAUUUGAGUUAAAUUUAUAUUUAUAAUUAAAUUUAUAAUUAUUUGGUGAAAUAUAUUAAUGUUUAAUAAUUAUUGUUGUGAAGCUUGGAAAAAUUAAGUGUAAACUAGGAUUAGAUACCCUAUUAUUUGAUUUAUAGUAAUUUUGAUUAAAGUAGUAAGAGUUAUGGUCUUGAAACUUAAAGAAUUUGACGGUAUUUCAUUUCUUUUUAGAGGAAUCUGUUACGUAAUUGAUAAUACACGAUUAGUAUUACUUAAUUUAAUUGUUUGUAUAUCGCCGUCGUAAGAAUGUUUAAUGAUAAUUUUAAUUUUCUUUUAAUUAAAUUAAAUUAUAUGUCAGGUCAAGGUGCAGCUAAUAAUUAAGUGUAAAUGGAUUACAAUAAAAUUAUUUGUGGAUAUUGAUGAUAAAUGUCAAUUGAAAUUGGAUUUAAUUGUAAAUUUUUUUAUGUUAAGUUGAUAUAAGCUCUGAAAUGUGUACAUAUCGCCCGUCACUCUCGUUUAAUUCGAGAUAAGUCGUAACAUAGUAGAUUUACUGGAAAGUGAAUCUGGAUGU
rnacentral:ncRNA from 1 species